GACGAACGCUGGCGGCGUGCUUAACACAUGCAAGUCGAACGCUGAAGCUCAGCUUUUGUUGGGUGGAUGAGUGGCGAACGGGUGAGUAACACGUGAGUAACCUGCCUCCUUCUUUGGGAUAACGCCCGGAAACGGGUGCUAAUACUGGAUAUUCACUGGUCUUCGCAUGGGGGUUGGUGGAAAGGGUUUUUCUGGUGGGGGAUGGGCUCGCGGCCUAUCAGCUUGUUGGUGGGGUGAUGGCCUACCAAGGCUUUGACGGGUAGCCGGCCUGAGAGGGUGACCGGUCACAUUGGGACUGAGAUACGGCCCAGACUCCUACGGGAGGCAGCAGUGGGGAAUAUUGCACAAUGGGCGCAAGCCUGAUGCAGCGACGCCGCGUGAGGGAUUGAGGCCUUCGGGUUGUGAACCUCUUUCGCUCAUGGUCAAGCCGCAACAAUGGUUGUGGUGAGGGUAGUGGGUAAAGAAGCGCCGGCUAACUACGUG
rnacentral:rRNA from 1 species